CUACAGCAAGGUUCCGAUAGCAGAAAACUCUAGGGUUCAAAUGUUCUUCAAAUUUCUAUCAAUUUUCACCUAGAACCUUUGUUUUUUUUCCAGGUACAAGUGUUCAGGGUCAUCAACAUGUGCUUCUUUGAGAUUACUUGCAUUUCCAGUUAGCUUUGAUUAGCCUCCUUUCUUUUCAGAGGAUUUCAUAUUUAUUUUCCUGUUAUUGUUGAGUUGUCGUGGAUUUUUUUCCGACAUGUAUCCUAGUAUUAGAGGCUUCAUAGACAACUAGAGUUGAUGAGUCUCUAGUGUAUUCCUCUUUUUUUAGAUCUUGAGACUAGUGAGCUUAGUUAUGCAUUUAAAGUUCCCUAUUCCCUUGAGUAAGUCUUCCUCUAAGUAGUCAGUCAUGCAGAGGAUUUACUUUGGGACCAACGAUGGUUCUCGAAUAUCGAUCAUGUCAGCAUGUAGACUCUCGACAUAACAUAUUUAUCUUAUGUGUUGAAUUCCUUUUA